rnacentral:lncRNA from 1 species
ACAGUAAGCCUGAGGUUCUGAUUUAGCCAUGCAAUCACCUGGCCUCUACCUGAAGAGAAAAUCUGCCUUUUUCCUGUGUAGGAUCUUUUAGAUUUCACCAAAUCUGGGGUGGAAUAAAUUUUAUAUUUUUAUCCUAUGCUAUUUCAGAUCUAAUAUCUAUUAGAUCUAAUUUUAUUAUCUGAUAUUUAAAAUCUAAAAUUAAAUCUAAAAGUAUGAGAAAUAUAGACAUACCUUAAGGGUAAUCUAAUUACCCUGCAGA